ensembl:lncRNA
UAAUUCAUUGAGCUGUAAUUAAAGAUAUUUCUUUCCAGUUAUUUACAUAUGUAAUUGUAUUGGUUAGUAUUGAAUUACGCUUUUGACUGCAAGUUCCAGAAUGCCUUGCGACAGGAAUGAGAGUGAGAACGCGCAAGUUAUGUGCUGGUGCAAAGUGAUUAGGCUGACCUUUCCGCUAGCAUCUUACCUGCAUUGCUCUGUAGAAUCUAAAGUUCUUAAAUGUAACGUGAACAAGUAAUAUUACUAAAAGAAGCGUUCAUAUCCACCCCGACGUCCCGAGUCAUUACUUUGAAGACGGUUAUUCUAAAAGUAAUUGCUCUUUUGACCAAUCAGAUAUGCUCUGAAAAAGAGCUGAUGCGAAAAUAUCUAACGUGAUAAUUUUCCAUCAUUAUUCAACAGGCUAAUGGGUCUCCAGUUGUCUAUAUAAGGAGUAUCCUUAUUAAGUUUGGGAAUCAAAGUAAUCACACCUUGUUUUAAGGAAGCCGGAAACUCCCCAUUUUCUAUUGAUUCGUGAAACAUAGCAAGAAUGAAAGGAAUCAAUUUAUCAUUGAAUGCUUUAUAAAACUCGCUUAUUAAACCAUCAUUUCCAGGGGACCUAUUGUCCUUAAUGCUUUUAAUACAGUCUUUUAUCUCAAUUUCAGAUAACUCAUCAUCACAAAAAUCCCUGAAAUCAUUAUCUAUCUUAGCAAUGUUUGCAACACGUCAUGCUCUUAUCAACUGAGCUACGAAGGAGCACGUCGACGUCGCUAGAAUGAUGACAAGCAAUGUUAAGGGAUUCUAAAGGGAAUCAGAAUUCCAAACUAAUUUCUAUGGCAACACAGUUGUCAAUUUUGUAAACAAUCAUUUUCGAACGUGUGUUGCCAAGAGACAUCUAACCGACGUUCUAUGGAACGUUUUCUGUGCGAAAACAACUUUGCUGCUGACAACAAACUUGUUUGAUUUUUGAGACCUGAGAACAAUCGACUGGAAAAUGCCUGGGUGCUUUUCAAGACUGGCGGAGAGAGUGCGUGGACGUCGGCGGCCUACUGCGUCGACAGGUUGUUCAAAUUCAUUUGUGGCUUGUUUUUCUUGUCUUUUUCUGUUUUGCAGGGUUCGUGAUCGUCGACAGGUGGACAGCGACUUCGAAGAGGAAACAACUGUCCUGGAUGAGGUCCAGUUGGAUGUGCCAUUGGAUGAUGUGCUAGAUGUUCCACAGCUGCCAGUCCUCCUUGAUGUCCAGAAUGCUGCUAUCAUCCUUGAGGAUGUGCCAGAUGUGCAGACUAUCCUUGAGGUACAAUUUUCUGAAAGUUUGGGGUUUUAUGUUUGAAAAAUAUCCCAGAUAUUCAAGUUGUCUCUUUAACAUGAAACAAAUCUCUUGUCUGCUUUCUGCUUUAGGAGGCCACUGGCAUUUGGCAGUUGAUUCCGAUUAGGUUCAGCCCCCAGUACUGUGGGCCUGUUGUGAUCAGGGUAAGAGACCCCCCCCCCCCACCCCCCCACCCCCCACAC